UACGUAGGUGGCGAGCGUUGUCCGGAUUUACUGGGCGUAAAGGGAGCGUAGGCGGACUUUUAAGUGAGAUGUGAAAUACUCGGGCUCAACUUGAGUGCUGCAUUUCAAACUGGAAGUCUAGAGUGCAGGAGAGGAGAAUGGAAUUCCUAGUGUAGCGGUGAAAGGCGUAGAGAUUAGGAAGAACACCAGUGGCGAAGGCGAUUCUCUGGACUGUAACUGACGCUGAGGCUCGAAAGCGUGGGGAGCAAACAGG
rnacentral:rRNA from 1 species